rfam:Angiostrongylus cantonensis strain Taiwan genome assembly, scaffold: ACAC_scaffold0001508
AUUGCUUCUCGGCCUUUUGGCUAAGAUCAAAGUUUAGUUUCUGUUCUUACCGAAUUAACCUUCGAUUGAGAUCCGAACGAAUCUCGUUAGGGUUGUUUGAAAUUUGGAACCGCCUGUGUUUGCGAGCUUGCUCGCCACCCAUCGCGGGUCGGCCCAGCGUUGCACUGCCGCUGGGAUCGGAACACCCCUA